ACCUGGCUGACUCAGUUGGUAGAGCACAUGACUCUUAAUCUCACGUUCAUGAGUUCAAGCCUCAUGUUGGGCA
rnacentral:tRNA from 1 species